ensembl:lncRNA
UUGACAGGCAGGGAGCCUUUAACUAGUAAUUCGGUUCAUAUUCGUCUGUUAUAAAGGGGGAUAAAUUAGAAACCUUUGCAACUGUAGGAUUGAGCAAUGGUUGAUCAAGUAGGCAACAAUAAGCCCAAAGGGGGGAAAAAAGGCUGUCAGGUGGUGCAAUAAAAUUACCAGAUUGAUUUCAGCAUUAUGUUAAACAUUUCAAACCACAUCUCUGGCUUAACAGGAUACAUGCAUGGCUCAUCACUAUCAGAUUCAAUGGAACAUUUGGAUUACUGAGAUUUUAACUUGCCCAUAACCCAUAUUUUGUACCUCAAUGUGGCACUCCGUUACAUAUGUGCAGCACGUCCGUUGAGAGAAUCAGCCUCAACUAAAUUGGUCCUCUACUGUUAAUGUAGAGUUUACUACAAACUAGAAUUUAUUGGAUACUAUACAUGUAGGUCAAGGUUUAAUUUGUCAACUUCGUAAUCAUAUUGAAAUAUAAAAUGUGUAAACCUUUAUGAAGACAGCAAGGACAGUUAUUUGAACGCAAUCCAACAUUGGCCCAAAAAUCCUUUUAACUAGCAGAGCCUCCACUUGUCCCUCGUUGUCUGACCAACGUGUCCAUCAGCGCAUGUGAGCGGCACCAGUGCUGUAAUGUAUGAAGUUCUUCGGUGCCGUACAGUGUUCUUGUUGAGUAAGUGAAAGUUAAACGUCUGGUCUCUGCAUUGUCAAAGGCGAGUGGCCUUAACAGUCUAAUGCAGAACUCACCAAAACAUUGAGCCAACAGCACAUCAACUAACAUCAUUGCACUAAACCCAACGUGAGAAAGACCAGGGAAGCCAUUACAAGAAUGUUUUUUAUAUUUAGAAGCGGAAUAACAGCAACUGUACACAGAAAUGCUACAUUUGUUUUCCUUCAGCAGAUGAACUCUCCAACUCUGAUGAAAUCUGCAAACAAAUAAAAUAAUCAAUUUUUUACUGUAAAAAAUAAGCCAUCAGCCUGUUGGAAUACUGCAUGCUCACCUGCGUCAAAGUUCUGCUUAUGGACACUUUUAGUUCUCCGGUUCAACACAGCAGAAGACCAUGAAACGGCUCAUUGAACCCAGCUGGAAGCUGUGCACUGAAAAAGUGAGGAAUAUAAAAUAAGUAACGUUAGUGAUUAAGAAAUUCAAUAAACGCUACAAGUUUAUGUUCUAUGCUUAAUUUUCAGUUAUGAAAAAACAUUCAGGAUAACAUACCAAUGGCGUAAGUGGACUCAACGGCAGCUCAAGGCCUCAGAUUUGACUGGAAUCUGUUCCUGUGCAGCAAAAAAACAGGAUUAAAGAGUGAAGAGACAACUGAGCAGCAAGCUGAGAACAUCAUCCGUCUGGAAGCACAAGACAGUAAAUGUCGGAGGUUUACCUAUAACCAGGCCAUAAAGAGUCACGGCCGGGCCUCAAACAGCCUCACGUCUCUCUAGCAGACACUACAGGAAAGGACGGAGCCACGGCAGGCUGAGCCUCGCUGGAAAGGUCUGCACGGACUAACUACGUCACACAGGACGGACCUCACUGGAUGAGGUCCACACAGACCUCACUGGAUGAGGUCCACACAGACUACAUCGCGCGAGGGCUCAUAACCGCAGCGAGUGAGCGCACGUGCUCCGCUCAUGACAGGCAUAAAUAACUUACUGAACGAGUCAAAUAUGACAUUAAAUAAGCUCUAUAGUACAUGUAUAUACAGGUCAGUAAAUUAAUAUAUAAACUAAAUACCAGCUGUGUAAAAACGACAGAGCGCUGUAGAGCGGACAGACGUCACUUUGGUCUUUUAACUGACUGUUUCCUCAACAACAGUUUAAUUUCAUUACAACUUUAAACUUCAAAUAGUUUCACGAUGUCAGAAUCCGAUGGCAUUUAACAUUACGGUUGGAUGGAGACGGAUCUUUUUUUUCGCUUACGUUACCUUUCACGUGGUGCUCCGACUGCUCAACAGACCUAGCUGCCCGGAUGUGACGUCAUUUAUACUAUGCGUGACGUCUCCUUCUUCUUCUUCUUCUUCUUCUUCUUCUUCUUUGGCAUUUAAUGGCAGUUGGAAAACCGCUCGUGGUGCAUUAGCGCCACCCACUAAUCUGGAGUUUGGAUUUACGUUGGAUGUAAAAUAAAAUAAGCACCCAAACAAAAGCACUAAUUCUAGUUUUCAGUCUUCCAAAAUACUCGCAAGGAAGUUUUCCACAUGUUCAACUUUUAUUUAGUACAUUACUGGUAUUUUAUUCCGCAUAGUCUAGUCUGCUUAAAACGUCUCUUGCUGAAUAAUUGUGGCAUAUCUUUUUGACGUGUCCCUUAAUCACCACAUUAGCUUCGGACUUACAUUCAUGUUAUUUCUCCUCUUCAAAGUCCAACUCCAAUAUGGGCAGGGGCCACAAAAAGUGUGAGGAAAUAACUCAAGGCCUUCAUGUCACCUGCAAACACACAGAAAUCACCAAGUAUCUUCCUGCUGCUGCGGCUCUGCGUGUUUCAGGGUCUUUAGAUCCAUCCGUAUCCAUCUGUAAAGAACUGUGGUAAUUCCUUUGGAUGUAGGACUUAAAGAUCCUAGUUUCCCCCUCGCUCCUUUCUUAUCAUUUCAAAGAGGCCACUUCAAUUUCUGGCUGUGGCAACCAAACCAAAAGGGAAAUCUGGCAGAAUCCCAGCAGGAGAAUAAUUCCUCACCAGCCCUUUCCUUAUUUAUAUGUAGGUUUCCUCCUUCUUGGAUGCAGCCUGUGGUUUCUGAGGAUUUACGGCAGUUCACAGGGUCCCCAGCAGGGAGCGAUACGAUACCAAAGAUAUCGAUCUGAGUUUGAAGUCUCUGAUGCUGUGUCUGUACAGCCGUCUGUAAACUGACCUCUGACUGUACUACAUUGAUGCAACGCCUACUAAACUCACUCCUUCACGAGGACAUUCCACAAUGACAACCAAUGGAAAGAUAUUCACCUUCAACAUAACGUAGAAAAUAACGGACAGAAUGGAAAUUUCCAUGAACUUACGAUUUGAUUUUCUCAUGUGGAGUAAUAACAUUGAUGUCUGGAAUCAUACAGCUCAUUUAUAAGACAAACUACCACAUUUUUUUGAGGAAAUUGCAAGUUGUUGUGCAUUUCUAGUAUUGUUGACAGGUUUAAUUGAGCAACAGUUUCCCAGAUUGUUUUCACGGGAUCUCAGGGUGAAACCAUCUGCGUGGUGUGUGAAGCGCUCUGGAGCCACUGCAGCUUGUAGGAGGCCUCUGAUGAGCAAAGCGGACAGCCGAUGCUGGUGGGAGUCGGGAGCCCCCACGAGGCGGUUUGCUCGUGGUGGAUGACUCACCCUGCGUUCCCGCUCAACAAUAGGAGCCAUAGAGGAGCAGGCUCCUGCUUGGGCCGCCCGCCGCGGGAUGAAUCUCAGCUUUGUUUGGCCGCAGUGAUGCCCAGCUGACCAGUGUUUCACACUGAAUGUGUGUUUGGACCCAAACACGAGCCGCCUCAGCUGCUCCUCUUGUUCCUCUGUGUGACUCGGGCCUUUACAGGAACGUCUGUGUCCCUUAUGACAACAAGAAAGUGGCGCCAUCGCAGAUCUGGGCUCUGUUGGAGCUUUGAAUGAGGAAAGGCCGGGGUAUCGUUUCAAAAGGCCCAUUGGGACAUUCCCACCGCGUCCUCAUCCCAUCAUGUCUGUAUAAUAACAACAACAAUAGAAAAACAUGCACAAUGAGAUCAACCGGACCUCUAAAUUUCUCAAGGAAUGAGAGAGCCGAGAGAGAGAGAGAGAGAGAGAAAGAGAGAGAGAGAGAGAGUCUUAAUGCAGCUUUUAUUCCAGCUACAAGCAACAAGAGGGUUGCUUUCAGCAUUUUAAGACUUCAGCGAGUUAUGUAAGCGGCAUUAGAGUCGGCAUGUGAAUAAUGCCUUUGUGUGUGUGCGUGUGUGUGUGUUUGCCAAAGUGUGUGUGUCUUGAACAAGCUGACCGACAUGAGUGAUGUGCUAUGAGAUGCCACCUUAUCUGAGACUAAAUGGAUAGCAAAAAAUCCUCACAUUUGAAGAGCGGGGUUAUGUAAACACUUGAUAAAUGAAUCACUAAAUCCUUUGAAAGAAUAAAAAAACGCUCUGGGCUUCUGAUCUAGUAAGGCUUCUGACUCUGACACAAAUUAUAAUCCAUUUGCACCAUUACAUUGAUUCAUGAAGCUUCUUUUAAUCAGCGUCAGGAUACACCACCUAAAGACUUCAUUUUCUGGAUUGAGUGCACAUCAUGUGGUCAAAUCUAGCUCAGGCUCCUCAAACUCUGGGAUCUUCUGGACAUUUCCCGGCUGCACAUUGUUUGUUAGUCACCGUGGAUCCUGCAGAGCUUCAGUGCAUUCUAACAUAAUGUUUGUCCCGUUACGUAGCAUGUAAAACAUGUCCGACCACGUCCGGAGCCACUCUGCAGGAUGCGAGUCGGCUCCUCUGACCCACAAUCCUUUGGGGCGGCCGAUUGAUGAGCAUGACGUCCAAAAGUCAAGCCAGUAGAAUGUCCCCUUUGAAUGCAUACUACACGCACCGGUACACACUUUGUCAGGGCGGCGGCAGUAUGCACCAAAAGUAAAAGAAAAAAAAGUAUCCAUUUAAAACAUAGGGAGGGUUUAGGAGGUUAAUCUGUGUACAUUCAGCAAAGCACUUCACUGCAUUUCUGAGUAUUUCUUUUAUACUUCUACGCCACCAGAUCUAAAAGGCUACAUUUUACUUUCUAGGGGAGCAUAAAUAAAUGUGAUAUGUACGUACUCUUUGCUAAUUACAUGAAAUAAGCAUAUGGAGUAUGAGAAGAAGCACUAAUUCACCCUUUAGCGUACAAAACGUCUUAAAGUGGCUCCAGUAUUUGUUUACUAGUGAGCAGAGUAGUUUAAUAAUCCAUCUAUUCUAUACAACAGCACAAGAAUGAAGACUUUUUACUUUUGAUAAUAAGAUAAAACUUUAUUUAUCUGGAGGGACGCAGUGUCAGUAAAACAUGCAGAGACACAACCGUAGUACAUUCUGCUGAUUACACCUCUUGAACCUCAAUGGAGGACGUAGGAAGUAGUUUUCCAUUGCAUGACUUUCCCCCCGUGUGACUCGGCCUCAGGAGAUUAUCUGGGGAGUCCAGCGUCUCCAAUGGCCUUAUCACAUGACACGGGGGCGGGGCUUUGUCUUCCCUUUGAAAUCCACUUCACGAGCGAGCAACAAGUCACCACUGGGCUUUUAUUUUAUUUUUAAAUCCAGUGUUAUCUCAGAGUCUCGGCGUUCACUUUCUCAGCAGCACACAUGGAUCAGAGGCAUCAGCGAUAAGUGCACAUUUACGUAUAGUCGGCUGCAGGACUUCUAUCGAGGCGCACUGAAACAUGUGUGGCAACAGGCUCCUGUUUGUCACAUUUUAAUGAGUCUUCGUUAGGCCCAAACUCAUAAAAUUCUGCAAGACGAAUAUGACUUGAAAGAGCUUUUGUUGCUUCCUGGCAACAAUAACAAGUAGAAAACAUUGCGUCUCCUGCAUUGACACACCCGCCUCCUGCUGGAUCCAUUUUACAUGAUGCCACGCAUACUUUACUUUUUAAAAUGAAAAUGAAAGCAACAUUAUUAUGAGUUUGUGGGUGUUACAAUCAGCAGGCGUGUAGAAGAGAUCCGAGUUACAUAUCAACCAUGUAACAAUGAUCACACAUUUGUUUUUGGAUGUGACGUGUUGAGUAGUCCUGUACAGCGGUUGAGUGUUUAUCUGCAGCAGGGAGGAGGAGAUGGGCGAGGCCCUUAGAAGCGCACCGUAACAUGGCGUCCUCGUCUCUUGGCCCUCAUCAGAGCAGCAGCAGCCUGCCAGACACACCGGAGCAGGAAGCCGGGAGGGGUUCCCCACCCU